GAUGAACGCUGGCGGCGUGCCUAAUACAUGCAAGUCGAGCGAACAGACUAGGAGCUUGCUCCUCUGACGUUAGCGGCGGACGGGUGAGUAACACGUGGAUAACCUACCUAUAAGACUGGGAUAACUUCGGGAAACCGGAGCUAAUACCGGAUAAUAUAUUUAACCGCAUGGUUCAAUAGUGAAAGACGGUUUUGCUGUCACUUAUAGAUGGAUCCGCGCCGGAUUAGCUAGUUGGUAAGGUAACGGCUUACCAAGGCGACGAUGCGUAGCCGACCUGAGAGGGUGAUCGGCCACACUGGAACUGAGACACGGUCCAGACUCCUACGGGAGGCAGCAGUAGGGAAUCUUCCGCAAUGGGCGAAAGCCUGACGGAGCAACGCCGCGUGAGUGAUGAAGGUCUUCGGAUCGUAAAACUCUGUUAUUAGGGAAGAACAAAUGUGUAAGUAACUAUGCACGUCUUGACGGUACCUAAUCAGAAAGCCACGGCUAACUACGUG
rnacentral:rRNA from 1 species